ACCUGCUGCUGGCCACCAGUCUGAACAGAACCUAAGCUUUUGAAGUGCUCCCUGAUCCUAACUACGGCUUAACCAGCUCUGUGAGAGAGUCAAGCAUGAUACUACCUGCUCUACUCAAGGUGUGGCCCAGCGCAUAAAGGCUUGUUUUGGGGAUCUGCACAGGGACUCUGGCUCUGCUGCUGCUUCAGCUCAAUGGGCCUGAUGAGAAGAGGAAGGGAGACUCCUUGAGGCUUCUCUAGCUCUGACACCAUCUGAGGCUUUAGAAAAGUGGGUUUCAGCUGCGCUUGAUGCAAGUUACUGAAAACUGGCAAACCAGUCCGUAAGCCAACACAACGCAACCACAAGUUUGGCAACAAAUUCCUGCUGCCAGAUGCCUUUGCUGUUCCUUUAGCUUUCUAUGGAUUCAAGGCACUUCACUCUUUUUUGUUGUUGGAAAUGCUUUCAAAGUAGAACACAGUGUUUUGGGUUGUCUAGCCAAAGUUUAGCUGUCCUUUUGCAUCUUUGCCAAACUUCCUGUUUUCAACAAAAACAAUUUAUUAUCUUGCUGGUUCUUUAGACCUGAAAGGAUUUGCAAGCACAAAUAAACUUCUGUUUUUUUUCUUUCUUUCAUGGCCUUUCAGAGAAUAAACUCACUUGCUUCCUCUCAAUUAUGUGGUGUAUACUAGCAAGGAGAAGUAUUUAACCUUUGGACUGCUAGUAAUAAUCGGAAAACAUUUUAAUUAUGCAAAACUUCUGCACUCCGAACUUUAAAGAACAGAAAUAUUUUCUCAUUUGCUAGAAGUAAUUUUUUUCAGGUGGUUGGGCAAUGGCAUCAAUCUGCAGCAUGUAUGUUAAGAGAGUUGGGAGCAAGCUAAAAUUUGGAUGUUUUAAGAGACGUUUUUAAAGACUUUAUUAAUU
rnacentral:lncRNA from 7 species